CCCUUAGAUGUUCUGGGCUGCACGCGCGCUACACUGAUGCAUUCAACGAGCUUUCGAUCUUGCCCGAGAGGGUUGGAUAAUCUUUUUAAAGUGCAUCGUGAUGGGGAUAGAUUAUUGCAAUUAUUAAUCUUCAACGAGGAAUUCCUAGUAAGCGCGAGUCAUCAGCUCGUGCUGAAUACGUCCCUGCCCUUUGUACACACCGCCCGUCGCUCCUACCGAUUGAGUGGUCCGGUGGGGCUUUGGGAUCUGAGCGGAAAGAGCGUUUCGCUGUUUCUGCUCGGAAAACUCAGUCGAACCUUAUCAUUUAGAGGAAGGAGAAGUCGUAACA
rnacentral:rRNA from 1 species